rnacentral:rRNA from 1 species
AGUCGGACCUGCCCGGUGAAGUUUUUUAACGGCCGCGGUACUCUGACCGUGCAAAGGUAGCAUAAUCAUUUGCCUUAUAAUUGAAGGCUAGUAUGAAUGGUUUGACAAGAAUAUAACUGUCUCUUUGCAAUUUAAUAGAAUUUUAUUUCUGGGUGAAAAAGCCCAGAUUAAAUUAAAAGACAAGAAGACCCUAUCGAGCUUUAAAGAAGUCAAUGGAUGAAUGUUUUUAUUUUAUAAAAAAUAAGCUGUUGAAUAUUUUGGUUGGGGCGACUGAGGAACAUAAAAAGCUUCCUUUAAUAAUUAGAAACAUACAGGUAUUGAUCCGUGGUUUACGAUUAAAGAAAUUAGUUACCGUAGGGAUAACAGCAUUAUCCUUUUUGAGAGUUCUAAUCGAAAAAAGGGUUUGUGACCUCGAUGUUGGACCAGAAUAUCCUGAAGAUGCAGAAGUCUUUAAGGGUUGGUCUGUUCGACCAUUAAAAUUCUA